AUUGAACGCUGGCGGCAGGCCUAACACAUGCAAGUCGAGCGGAUGAAGGGAGCUUGCUCCUGGAUUCAGCGGCGGACGGGUGAGUAAUGCCUAGGAAUCUGCCUGGUAGUGGGGGAUAACGUCCGGAAACGGGCGCUAAUACCGCAUACGUCCUGAGGGAGAAAGUGGGGGAUCUUCGGACCUCACGCUAUCAGAUGAGCCUAGGUCGGAUUAGCUAGUUGGUGGGGUAAAGGCCUACCAAGGCGACGAUCCGUAACUGGUCUGAGAGGAUGAUCAGUCAAAAUUGAACCUAGACACGGUCCAAACUCCUAGGGGAGGGAGCAAUGGGGAAUAAUGGACAAUGGGCGAAAGCCUGAUCCAACCAAGCCGGGUGGGGUGAAAAGGUCUUCGGGUUGUAAAACACUUUAAGUUGGGAGGAAAGGGAGUAAAUUAAAAACCUGCUGUUUUGACGUUACCAACAGAAUAAGCACCGGCUAACUUCGUG
rnacentral:rRNA from 1 species